GACGAACGCUGGCGGCGUGCUUAACACAUGCAAGUCGAACGAGGCCCUCCCUUCGGGGAGGUGUCCUAGUGGCGAACGGGUGAGUAACACGUGGGCAACCUGCCCUCCGCUCUGGGAUAACCCCGGGAAACCGGAGCUAAUACCGGAUAUGACCUGAUGAGACAUCUCGUCAGGUGGAAAGUUUUUCGGCGGAGGAUGGGCCCGCGGCCUAUCAGCUUGUUGGUGGGGUAACGGCCCACCAAGGCGACGACGGGAGCCGGCCUGAGAGGGCGAACGGCCACACUGGGACUGAGACACGGCCCAGACUCCUACGGGAGGCAGCAGUGGGGAAUAUUGCGCAAUGGGCGAAAGCCUGACGCAGCGACGCCGCGUGAGGGAUGAAGGCCUUCGGUUGUUAACCU
rnacentral:rRNA from 1 species